rnacentral:rRNA from 1 species
AGAGUUUGAUCCUGGCUCAGGAUGAACGCUAGCUACAGGCUUAACACAUGCAAGUCGCGGGGCAGCGUGUCGUCAGCUUGCUGACGAUGGCGGCGACCGGCGCACGGGUGCGUAACGCGUAUCCAACCUUCCCCCUACUCGGGAACAGCCCUCCGAAAGGAGGAUUAAUGCCCGAUGAGGUCCUUCGACGGCAUCCGACGAGGACCAAAGGAGCGAUUCGGUAGGGGAUGGGGAUGCGUCCGAUUAGCUUGACGGCGGGGUAACGGCCCACCGUGGCGACGAUCGGUAGGGGUUCUGAGAGGAAGGUCCCCCACACUGGAACUGAGACACGGUCCAGACUCCUACGGGAGGCAGCAGUGAGGAAUAUUGGUCAAUGGGCGCAAGCCUGAACCAGCCAAGUAGCGUGCAGGACGACGGCCCUAUGGGUUGUAAACUGCUUUUAUGCGGGGAUAAAGUUGGGGACGUGUCCCCAUUUGCAGGUACCGCAUGAAUAAGGACCGGCUAAUUCCGUGCCAGCAGCCGCGGUAAUACGGAAGGUCCGGGUGUUAUCCGGAUUCAUUGGGUUUAAAGGGAGCGUAGGCCGGCCUUUAAGCGUGCCGUGAAAUGUCCCGGCUCAACCGGGGCACUGCGGCGCGAACUGGGGGCCUUGAGUGCGCGGAACGUAUGCGGAAUUCGUGGUGUAGCGGUGAAAUGCUUAGAUAUCACGAAGAACCCCGAUUGCGAAGGCAGCAUACGGCAGCGCUACUGACGCUGAAGCUCGAAGGCGCGGGUAUCGAACAGGAUUAGAUACCCUGGUAGUCCGCGCGGUAAACGAUGGAUGCCCGCUGUCGGCGAUACACGGUCGGCGGCCAAGCGAAAGCGUUAAGCAUCCCACCUGGGGAGUACGCCGGCAACGGUGAAACUCAAAGGAAUUGACGGGGGCCCGCACAAGCGGAGGAACAUGUGGUUUAAUCCGAAGCAACGCGAAGAACCUUACCAAGUCUUGACAUCCCUGUGACCGGCCUUUAACCGGGCCUUCCCUUCGGGGCACAGGAGACAGGUGGUGCAUGGUUGUCGUCAGCUCGUGUCGUGAGAUGUUGGGUUAAGUCCCGCAACGAGCGCAACCCUUAUCCUUAGUAGCCAGCACGCAGUGGUGGGCACUCUGGGGAGACUGCCAGGGAUAACCUGGAGGAAGGUGGGGAUGACGUCAAAUCAUCAUGCCCCUUAUGAUUUGGGCUACACACGUGCUACAAUGGCGUAAACAAAGGGAAGCGAGAGGGUGACCUUAAGCAAAUCCCAAAAAUAACGUCCCAGUUCGGACUGUAGUCUGCAACCCGACUACACGAAGCUGGAAUCGCUAGUAAUCGCGGAUCAGAAUGCCGCGGUGAAUACGUUCCCGGGUCUUGCACACACCGCCCGUCAAG